UCUCCUAGCGCUGCUUCAACUUGCUGCAUGCAGCAAAGUCUAGUUUAGUUUAGAUCACAGGUAAUGUGCCUAUUGCAAAUUCGCGAACAAGGUCGCGUGCCAUCGACGCGUUGGCUUUGCGCACGUCUUGCUUUCUUAUCAUAUACUGUCCCGUCGUUGUUAACGCAGUUUCGGCAUGCACUAUCGGUGGAUUGCAUCCAGUUUCGUGCCGGUCGCUGAUUAAUCCAGUUGUCUUUUGAGAGACUUAUAUCGUUUAUUCGGACUUCAAUAUUCUAAAUUUGUGUUAUACCCGAAGAUCAAUCGACUAUUAUACUAUAUUUGUAAUUUGCGACUAUAGUAAUUUGUUUAAUGUUCGGAAAUGCCGGUUUUUGAUCGCGUUUGUUAUGUAUAUUACAAGUCACGUGAUAGUGGAUUUGAUAACAUUCUUCUCUCGGUGUUGUGUUUUGUGUCGGUUACUGAAUUAAUCGGAUAUAUAUUGCCCCCAUGUUGAUUCUCAUCAUUAAGAAAGAUCCAUCAGGCUCGUCACUCGUUGUACCUGGCAGUCCGAUAAGCUGUACACUGUUACAGCACUCGUGCCUGGCAGUCCGAUAAGCUGUACACUGCCGGCGAACGCAAUGUCGUGGGGCGCCGUUCUUGCAGUAAAUUGUACGGUGCCUUGAAUGAGAGUCACUCCUACCUCUACCUUCGCACGGUGCCCUAAAUUGGAGUCUUUAUGGAUCCUUUGUUGGAUGAAGCAUUGGCUGGCUAAUCCUGAGAUGGCAAAGUUUACCAGUUAGGACCAACCGGAGAGGUUCCGUGGUACUGGUGGAGUGCGUAUUGAAGAUGAUGUUCUGAUUACUGAAGAUGGAUGUGUCAACUCGAAUAAAAUACCAAGAACUGUCCAAGAAAUUGAAGAUUGGAUUGCCGGUGAUGACGAUGAUUCCAAAUACGAUUGAAUGAAUUUAAAACAUUUUGAAGCUGAUAUUGAUAUCAUUUUUAUGUAUUUUGUUAAAAGGUAUGAAAAGAGCAUUAUCUAAUUGCAUAUUAUUAUCCUGUUUUUAUUCUUGUAUUGUUAAAAAUGCUGUAUAUAUUAAGAAAUUGAGUUUGUGACUCUACAUGUUUGAAUAAAAUUGUUGUUUUAUAUUUUUAACUAUAAA